rnacentral:rRNA from 1 species
AUGUCACCCCCGCCAUGCCAACUUGCUGCGACCCCUGCAGUUGGCCAACAAGAUCACAACGACACUCUUUCUGGCUCUACCAGGAGUCGAGCGACAUCGCAUUCUUCGUGUUCCAACAUGCCAUCAACCGCAAUAGAGGCGAUGGCGCGGGCCCAGAUGUUGCUGGAUUUUCCUCCUGUAACUAACAAGAUGGAUGAGUGGAGAGCCACCAUCCGGAGUUUGAUUGAUUUUGCUCAUGCAAAUCGGAGGGGAGCUCAAGAGAGCCUGGGUGGUGGGAGGGAGGCAGAGCUGCUGGACGACCCGGUGCAGCUCGGGGUGGCGCCGGAGCAUGUAGUCUACGACGGCGAGGCAAUGACCGCACGGUGA